rnacentral:sRNA from 1 species
GCCUGGGGUGGUGGCACAUGCCUGUAGUCCCAGCUACUCAGGAUGUUGAGAUAUGAGGAUCACUUGAGCCUAGAAGUUCAGGACCAGCCUGGGCAACACAGUGAAACCAUGUCUCUC